rnacentral:rRNA from 1 species
UACGUAAGGGGCUAGCGUUGUCCGGAAUCAUUGGGCGUAAAGAGCGUGUAGGCGGCCCGGUAAGUCCGCUGUAAAAGUCAAAGGCUCAACCUUUGAAUGUCAGUGGAUACUGCCGGGCUAGAGUCCGGAAGAGGCGAGUGGAACUCCUGGUGUAGCGGUGGAAUGCGCAGAUAUCAGGAAGAACACCAACGGCGAAGGCAGCUCGCUAGGACGGUACUGACGCUGAGACGCGAAAGCGUGGGGAGCGAACAGG